AGUCGAGGGGUAACAGGGAAGCUUGCUUCCGCUGACGACCGGCGCACGGGUGCGAAACGCGUAUGCAACCUACCUCUUACAGGGGAAUAGCCCGAAGAAGUUCGGAUUAAUACCCCAUAGUAUUACAGAUUCGCAUGAUGAAGUAAUUAGAGAUUUAUCGGUAAGAGAUGGGCAUGCGUCUGAUUAGAUUGUUGGUGAGGUAACGGCUCACCAAGUCGACGAUCAGUAGGGGUUCUGAGAGGAAGAUCCCCCACACUGGCACUGAGAUACGGGCCAGACUCCUACGGGAGGCAGCAGUAGGGAAUAUUGGUCAAUGGAGGCAACUCUGAACCAGCCAUGCCGCGUGUAGGAAGAAUGCCUUCUGGGUUGUAAACUACUUUUAUAUAGGAAGAAAACGCCAUGCGUGGUAAUAUGACGGUACUAUAUGAAUAAGCACCGGCUAACUCCGUGCCAGCAGCCGCGGUAAUACGGAGGGUGCAAGCGUUGUCCGGAUUUAUUGGGUUUAAAGGGUGCGUAGGCGGUUUAUUAAGUCGGAGUUGAAAUCCCACAGCUUAACUGUGGAACUGGCUCCGAUACUGGUUAACUUGAGUAUGGUUGAGGUAGGCGGAAUUUAAGAUGUAGCGGUGAAAUGCAUAGAUAUCUUAAAGAACACCAAUUGCGUAGGCAGCUUACUGGACCAUAACUGACGCUGAGGCACGAAAGCGUGGGUAGCG
rnacentral:rRNA from 1 species